rnacentral:misc_RNA from 1 species
AACGCAUAUUGCACUCUCCGUUCUGCGGAGAGUAUGCCUGUUUCAGGGUCUUUUGGAAAAAUCCGGGAAUUUAUUUUUCUGGGAAAUGAACUUUUCGCGAUGAUGCGAUAGUUUAAAAUUAAAUGCGUUUACAACUGAUAGGACGCGUAAUAGUAGUAAAAUGCUAAUAUCGUAACUUAUCAGUUGGUAUUAAUAAACGGUGAAUAAGUUUGAUUAUAAUUCGAGUUUAUUCUUGGAUUGGUCAAACAAAAAUAAGUCUUAUACAGACCUGAAAUCAGGCAAGAUUACCCGCUGAACUUAA